rnacentral:rRNA from 1 species
CCCCUAACACGACAGGUCGAGGUGUAACUAAUGAGCGGGUAAAAGAUGGGCUACAUUUUCUAAAACAGAAAACACGAAUAAACUAUGAAACUAAAAACUGAAGGCGGAUUUAGCAGUAUGCUAUGAACAAAAUACUUAACUGAAGCUAAUGCAAUGAAGUGCGUACACACCGCCCGUCAUCCCUGUUAUAAACAACAAAAAUUUAAUAAAUCACCACACCUUCUUAAAGCAGGGCAAGUCGU